AUUCAAAUGAACCGCGCUUAGAAACUGAAUACGUCGAUGUAUCGAAACGGUAUACUUACAUAGGUUAUGUUCACAAUAGGUGAUUGUAUGCUUAUAAUUAUUUUAAAUCUUUCUGAAUAACUAUACGUGUUUAAUCAAAAUUCAAGAUGGGAAUGCGUAGACAUGCUCAAUUUCUUGCUCGGACAGUUAUGAUUCGAGAUAAUAAUGUAGAAAAAGCUUCUCGUUUGUUAAAUAGUAUAUUGUCAAAAGAAGGUAUUUUUGAACAAUUUAGACGUACUAGAUAUUAUGAAAAACCUACCCAAACAAGAAGGAGGAUUAAUUUUGAAAUAUGUAAAGCUAUUUAUGCUGAGGACAUGAAUAGAAAAAUUCAGUUUAUUUUAAGAAAAAAUAGAGAAAAUCCAUAUCCUGGCUCUGACUAAACUGUACUUAUGUUUUAAUUAAGUGUCUUGUAUAAUUCUAAAGUCAUCUGUAAAUUUGUAUGCAUAUGAUAUAGUGGUAAAUAUCCUUACUUUAUGUGUAUUCUGUAUAACUGGUUAAAAUACGUUAAAUAAAUUACAAACCUACGCCGUCGGUAUGUCAGAAGCUGA